AAAAUGGGAAAGAAUAGGGAGUAGGGAAUUUUUUCCGCUUACGUGUCGAAUAAUGGUUUGAAAAGCGAUUUAGUAAAAUAAAUGGACAAAUUUCAUUGGAAACCCCUUUUGACGUCUUCCAAACCUGAACGGUACUAUAUUAUUAUUAUCUCUGUACUUUACCUUUUUCUUGAUUGUUGGGUAAAAUAAGAAGUGCAAUGAAAGGCAAAAGUGAGUGGCAUUGCCAGUUACAUGAGCUGUUGUAGCUAUAGCUGGGACUGGAUAAAUCUCAAGAUAAAAAGGAAUAAGAUUGUGGGUUUGAUUUUGUAUGCAAUAAUAUGAUGCAAUUAAAGCUUUUUCCUUUUUUAGGAGGGUCUCCGGGGGGCGGGGGGAGGGGGGAGGAGAGUGAUCCAUUGGUUAAACAGGAAACCCUAACUCUGCCUUAUCUUAAAAUGGGUUCCCAGAUCUGUACUUGAAGGAGCAAGAUAUGAUGAGGGUUGGUUGGUUUCUACGGUCUCAAUGGCAAUUUAGCAAAUGAUGGUAAGGAAUGGAUGAUGUCUUGUGUUGAAGAAGAAGAGGGCCAAUGAGAACAAAGAGAGAUUGACAGAAGAGAGUGAGCACUCACAGGCAAUUGUAUGCAAAAGGCAUACCUUUUCCGUGGUUGCUUACUUCUCUUCUGUCGGCUAUUUUCUUCUUCAUCAUCAUUAUCUUCUUCUUCUUCUUCUUCUUCUUCUUCUUCUUUUUCCUGCAUGUCAUUAUGAAUUAUCAAAGACCCUUUCGUUUGUUUUUGAUAUGUGUCGGGUUAUAAUAAUAUCUAUCAACUGUACUAUUAUUUUUCUCUGCCUUUUAGUAUUCCAAUUUUGAGUGUGUGUUUUUUCUUGGGAAUAUUUAAAAUAACGAGAAGAAAUCCUUUGAUGGAAGCUUUGAAGGAAAGCGUGACUUUUGAUGGUCCUUUCUCUUUGAAGAGAGGACGAAAAAUGCUUCUUAGAACAUAUAGUACGCCUCCUUACUGUUCCUAUUUUUAACGAAAAACAUAACCGGUAUCUUCGUAUUUUUAUUCAUUUUCCCUUUAUUUAAAAUCCCUCUUCCUAUAUAUUCAUGCUUUCUUGGAGGCGGCCAUGCAAGAAUCAUUGAAGGAGAAGGAUAUCUCCGAUAUGAAUUCAAGUAUCAUGGAAGCAUCUCAGCUGUCCAUCCUCAACUUGAAGGAACGUGAAGGUAAUGCCGGAAUUUGCAUGCUGCAAUAUCACUACUGAAAAACAGGCCAGAUAAAAAUAAGCCCAACAUGCGUAAGGCAUUUGAUCAUGUCUCGUUCGUUCUGGGGAUGGAAACGAGAAUGAACAUGUCGAUUCUUGGAGUAAGUUUACAAAGGCUGUUGGAAUAGCAACCUGAAUUAUUAUGUGAAGAAGAUGAAGGUAGUAUAAGAUUGUAGAUUGGAGUAAAUUACAGAGAGUAAUUGUAAUUAAAUAAUGUCCUUGCUUCAAUUCACAUGAAUAAAUAUGUCUCGAGCCACUAUAUAUGAGCCUUGCGAGCUACCAAA